rnacentral:tRNA from 1 species
GGUGUAGCUUAAUAGUAGAGCACGUGCUUAACAUGCAUGAGGCCCUGGAUUUGAUCCCCAGCACC